AAUCGGAACACAGGUGCUGCAUGGCUGUCGUCAGCUCGUGUCGUGAGAUGUUGGGUUAAGUCCCGCAACGAGCGCAACCCUUAUCAUUAGUUGCUACGCAAGGGCAACUCUAAUGAGACUGCCGGUGACAAACCGGAGGAAGGUGGGGAUGACGUCAAGUCCUCAUGGCCCUUAUAGGUGGGGCUACCACACGUCAUACAAUGGCUGGUACAAAGGGUUGCCAACCCGCGAGGGGGAGCCAAUCCCAUAAAGCCAGUCGUAGUCCGGAUCGUAGUCUGCAACUCGACUACGUGAAGUCGGAAUCGCUAGUAAUCGUGGAUCAGAAUGUCACGGUGAAUACGUUCCCGGGUCUU
rnacentral:rRNA from 1 species